AACAAAUAAGAAGGGGUGCUGCGGUAUAUCUUGUGCACUGGACUCAGGAAGCUGAAUCUGAGUGUUUUCACCAUGACUCUGGCUCCACUACUCCUUGUCCUCCUUUAUUACUUAACAGGGUCAUGGGGCCAGUUUCAACUGACUCAGCCAAACUCUGUGUCAGGGUCUCUAGGAAGCACAGUCAGCCUCUCCUGCAAGCGCAGCAGUGGAAACAUUGGAAGCAGCUAUGUGCAAUGGUACCAGCAGCACGAGGGAAGAUCUCCCACUACUGUGAUAUAUGGUGAUGAUCAGCGACCAUCUGGGAUUCCUGAUCGGUUCUCAGGCUCUAUUGACAGAUCCUCUAACUCAGCUACUCUGACCAUCGGGAAUCUGCAGACUGAGGAUGAGGCUGACUACUUUUGUCAGUCCUCUGGUGGUGGCAAUAUUCACAGUGAUACAAAACAUAGAGGAACUGUACCUGCGGUAGUUAGAUCCACAGGUACAGAUGCAAAAGUGCAGAUUUGGGCCUACCAGGUCAAAUGCAUGUUUAGGAAGGAGCUCCAUCAGCUCAGUGGUGCUACAGCUGCAGAACCUGUAGGCUGGUAUAACAGCCAGCGGGAAAUACAGCCAUAG